CCUACGGGUGGCUGCAGUGAGGAAUUUUGGUCAAUGGGCGCAAGCCUGAACCAGCCACGUAGCGUGAAGGAUGACUGCCCUACGGGUUGUAAACUUCUUUUAUCACGGAAUAAAGUGAGGCACGAGUGCCUUUUUGUAUGUACUUUAUGAAUAAGGAUCGGCUAACUCCGUGCCAGCAGCCGCGGUAAUACGGAGGAUGCGAGCGUUCUCCGGAUUUAUUGGGUUUAAAGGGUGCGAAGAUGGGUUGUUAAGUCAGUGGUGAAAGUUUGCGGCUCAACCGUAAAAUUGCAAUUGAUACUGGCAGUCUUGAGUACAGUUGAGGUAGGCGGAAUUCGUGGUGUAGCGGUGAAAUGCUUAGAUAUCACGAAGAACCCCGAUUGCGAAGGCAGCUUACUAAACUGCCACUGACAUUGAGGCUCGAAAGCGUGGGGAUCAAACAGGAUUAGAUACCCGAGUAGUC
rnacentral:rRNA from 1 species